ensembl:ncRNA asRNA:CR46251 antisense RNA:CR46251
AUUGCUAAACUAGAUGACUUGCUCUUUACCGCCGCGGUAGUGCUCAUCAAGAAUGGCUGCAGCAUCACGUUCCCGGCCAGACGAGCUCCGGAUCCGAUGAUCUGUUGAGUGGUUCCCGUCGCUGGCUGCUGCAGCUGAAUGAUCCGUGUGGUGGGCAAAUUAGUGGCCGUCAGAGCAGUUCCUCCGGCUCCGGGACCCCGCCCGGGUGCCACUGUUGCUCCACCGGAAACACUAACGGCCGUUGGAGAUGCCGUAACGCUGGUAUUCAGCUGCGGUAUGCUUGGUGCCCUGAUACUUAUGCUGGUUGUGUUCAGCUUAGCGGUUGGAAAACUCUUGCCCAGCGGAAUUGGUCGCACCUGUCGAGGUGUUACUGUCGUUCCACCGGGCGUCGUUGUUGUUACUCCGCCUGUGGGCGUGGCCACAGCAAAGCGUGGAUUAAAUUGCUGACCCGGAUUCUGACUUGCAUUCGGUGCAGACACAUUGGAGGAGUAAACUAGUGUAGCCUGAUGCUGCCUCUGUGGCAAUACAGUAGCCACAUAGGCCUGAGGACCUCCUCCCGGUCCCGUCGCCUGUUGUGUCGCCAAGGGCUGGCCAGCGGAAACGGAAAGAGCUAUGUGGAAACACAAUUAGGAUGAUGUUGCAGAGUAAGAAAAGAUACAACAUACCUGUUGGCGCCUGCACUGGAGUAGUGGUCACUACACUGGCAUUCGAAACCCCCGCGGAUGUCGUUAUAAUUCGCUGGCGCGGCUGAUGAAUGGUUCGGAUCAGUUGCACCUGUCCCUGACUCUGCAUCCAAGCACCACUGUUGCUGGACGAGAUGACAGCCGACGAUGGUUGCGAUGUGAGCGCCACUCCACUUCUGCUCACCGAUGCUGUUGCUCCGCGUACGAAUCCUCCGGUUGAGCUCAGCACUGUUGGCGCUGUGGGCGUAACCGUGGCCGAUGAUGUGGCUCUCAAUGGCGUGACGAGCCGCUGGCCAACUCCAACGCCAACGCCUCCCAUUUGGGUGGCCGUCACACUGGCUCGCGGCAAGUAUGUGGCCUGGGUUACGGGCCUGGUAACCGUGAUCGAUGCAUUCGCCCCACUCCUCGCCGGUGCAGCUGGUAUGGCUGUUAUCUGAGUCCUUCCGGUGGCCGUAACAUUCUCUAGCUGCUUGAUCAUUGGCAUCACCACCCGCACCUGUGUGGACUGACCACCAGCGCCAAUAGCACGGAUCGAAGCUGCCGUAGUCGCUUGUCCUGCAUUCAGAGCAAUUGGAGUGCCACCUAGGGAAGUUUGUUGAACUUGAUUGGCUGACGCCACCUUAAUUGUGCCUCCGCUGAGGAUCGGUGUGCCCGCAAUGGAUAUCCCACCGCCGCCGUCGGAUUUCACGUGGGUGAUCUUGGCGGCCACCGCCGGGUGCGCUGCAGAGGAUGGCAAAUGGGAUGGCAAUGAGUAUUUGUUUAUGACGCCGCGCAGCUGCAGGGGCGGAUGUGAGUGCGAUACCAAGGAUGCGGAUGCGGAUAAAGAUCCAGUGGCUGCCAGAGAUGAUGAUGAUGAUGAUGGAUAUAUAGAUGGCAGCAAUGACAACGAUGGCACUGCAUGGGUGUGCAGUUGUUGGGUGCGUAUCUUAAUGGUUUUCAGGGGGGCUGUGCGGGUGGCUACUGUGAGAUUUCGGUUAAAAGCUCCACAUGGAACACCAAUGGACGGACAAGUGAAAUUGGGGAGCUACAUACAUAUAACAUUGGUUUAUUUGUUUGGCUUUUAAAUUUAAUAAUAAUAUUUGUUUCCUUUUGAUGAAAAUUAAAUAUAAUAUAAAUAUACAAUUUU